UUUUUUUUUUUAUAAUCAAAAGAAAGCAUCACAGGGAAUAUAUUACUUUGCUAGCGAAUUCCUCAACUGUAGAUCAACCAUGUGCAGUUCAGUGAUUUGCUGGAUGAACACCUUCCUUAUCCUGUAGACGGAGUAAAACAAGUCUUGGUUUUCAAUUUUCAUCAUCAAGCUAGCAAGCUCUUCCGGGAGUCCAUCGGAAACAUCCUCUCUACUUCUUUGGAGGUAGCGGUAUGGACUGCGUACAUCUUACCCUCUCCAGACCUCACUUUGUGGGAAUACACUGGGUUUGUUGUUGUUGUUUUUGUUAAGCUAGCAAGCUCUUGUUUGAUUGGAACUCCAAAAUCGAGGCCAACAAUGCACUUCAUCUCUCACAGGUCAUCGAACUUCAAUGGAUCCACGUCCAUCUACUCAUGUAAAACGAGCUUUGUAAUCUCUGAGAUGUAAGGUGUCUUUGUAUGAAAUGAAUAACCAUUGAAAGUUUGAAACCAAGUGGUUGUGUAAGUAAUACAAUGAGAAGGUCCAAGAUAAAAAUUAUUACUCAGACUAGGAAUUUAUGUGACUAUGCCUUCCAGGUACUUUAACUACUUAAGAAAAUAAGACAUUUAACUACUAGGUUUGCUCAAGCAAGUUUUUGCCACGACCCGAACCGGGGCCCUAGCCGUGAUGAGCAUCCCGAACCAUGAAGGCCCGGUAUGCACAAUUCUUAUAUAAAAUAAUGCAGAAAUAUAAUCAAUACGGAAUCAUGGUCAUGUUCUGGGUCAAGUAUAUCAAUACGAAAGAAAACCCAUCAACAUGUAAACAACAUCUGUUUCUGUUUCCGAAAUCUCUAAUACAUACAAAAUAAGCAAACUGUCUGAAACUGGGACAAGGCCCCCAGUGGACCUAAACCAAAGUAAAUGACAAAUGUCUGAAAAGAAACAGGCCUUCCGGAAUAAAGAAGGCUCACCAACUGCACACUUCUGUAUGAUAAUUCUACGGCUUAGCAGGACCUCUAGAUUGAGCCUCAGACCCUGAAAUAUAGGGGGGAUCAAUAAAAUUGUACUAGUAUGUGAAGCAACUCAAAAUAACAUGUUUUUAUACAAAAUAGAUGAGAGCAUUUCACAAUAAUAAUAAACAUUAUAUAAGUGGAAAUACAUGGGCAUAUUUAACAAAUUUAAAGUUCAAUUCUUGACAAUCUUAACUCACUUUUUGUCAUUAUUUUGAGCUAAUCGGUACACCCUACAAUUUGUAAUUCCAUGGGCUAUAUGGAAUCAUUUACUCGACGGCCAAGCCUCCAAUCCAAGUGUCCCACAAGAAUUGGAGUUUUAGUAACAUGGAAUACCCCUUACAAGUAUACUGUGGUAUCACCCUUGCAUGAUGUCCGCAUUAUCCCCCUUAUAGGAUAAUACCCGUAUCAGCAACUACGGUUUCCAAUGAUGAGCCCUUACACUCAAAUGCCUUCUUCGGAUAACCAAUUAGCUCUCUUAAGCCCAAAUUUUAAUUAUUCAAAAUCUGGUAUCACCCUUGGAUGCUUCGUGUUUUCAAACGUUCAAUACUUUUUCUAUUAAGGGCAUGUCAUCAUCGGGUAUCGUCAUACCCUGACUUGCAAGUCAAUAUCAUAUCAAAUUCACAGCCCAUAUUAUAUUCAAAACAUGCACAUGACCACCAAUGAAAUUCAUAACAUUACAAUAGAGUCAUCACUUGGAAACCUCAAGAACAUUUAAGCAUUUAUCCUCUCUUGGCAAGAUUUCAAAACAUGUGGUGGUCAUGUAAAAUUGAUCAAUCUCAUGUGAUUCUCCCCCCUUUAAAACAAGAAUAUAGUUAUAGCAAGAAACUCCCUCUCAUCACAUAUAAACCAUGUCAAACACCAUAAUAUUGAGAAGAUCACUUUCAAAUCUUAAAACAUGUGUUUCAAUUCCUUCACAAUGAACAUAUAAACUUUAGUUAGCAACGAGAGGGGAUUCAUGCUCAUGCUCUCAAUCAAUUUUACAAAAUACACAAAAUCCCAUACAUAUAUAGUUAUAAUUCAAUUUCCAUGAAAAGUGAUUCAAGACAAUAUAUAUUUUCAUCAAAACAAUCCCAUGAUGCAUACCUUCCAAAAACCAUGUAGAAUACUUCAUUAUAAAACAUAAUUGGGGAUCUUUAAUCUUGAUAAAAAUAUUUAAACUUAUGCCCAAGGUUUUUAGAGUAGUCCCACACACCUUAGAUUAUCAGAUCUGAAAGAUUGAACCCGAAUGUUGAUAUAUUUCCUUCAAAACUUGGCUUAAGAGUCAGGGAUUUUUUUCUUGUUCUUGGGGAAAUGGAGGAUGAUUUUUGAUUUGGGGAGAAUAUGAAUUUG
rnacentral:lncRNA from 1 species